GUGGCCGACUGUUUUCAAGCAGAAAGUUAUCCAGCAGAGCAAGACUCUCCCUACCUCAACCGACCUUGAAGAACUGAUCUACUGUGCUGAAGGAACUUCAAGUGAGGAGGCACUGGAUGAGACCCUCUGGCUGGGACAGCGAUCUUGCUUCCAUCAUUCUCCUGCUCCACCUGUCUCCUCCUUCCUGUCAGGGCCACAAAAGACCUGGCAAGGUUUCUCCAUCCCAGGAUGAGAAGCACCAUGUGGUCUUCCAGAAGAGUGGAACAAGCAUCCAGGAACAUGUUGAUGCCAUCAACUCCACUACGCAACCCUACCCACUUGCUGUUGGGACAAAGACCAUCCACGAGUUCUUCAUUGUUCUGGACAAGCAGGUCGUACCAUGCAAGUCAACCAGCUCACUUGGAGCUUUGAUGAACUUUUUAACGUUUACUUCGUAUUUGGAACGGUUUAUAAUCAAACGUUCCACAACAUGUACGUCUUGGAACUUGGAGAAUUAAAGGAAGUUGCUGAAAUUGCUUCAGAACUUUGUAGUGAACUCUCUCCAUGUCAAACACAAAAUUACUUUGAACUGGGGCUACAGAAUUUUAUUGGC